GACGAACGCUGGCGGCGUGCUUAACACAUGCAAGUCGAACGAAGUGGCGAACGGGUGAGUAACGCGUAAUCAACCUGCCCUUCAGAGGGGGACAACAGUUGGAAACGACUGCUAAUACCGCAUACUGAUGCACGGGUAGGCGGCUGAUUGGCUAGUUGGAGGGGUGACGGCCCACCAGGGCGAGGAUCAGUAGGCGGGCUGAGAGGAGUAACGGCCAAAUUGGGAACGGGACACGGCCCAGACGCCUAAGGGAGGCAGCAGUGGGGAAUCUUCCGCAAUGGGCGAAAGUCUGGCGGAGCAACGCCGCGUGAGUGAUGAAGGCCUUCGGGUUGUAAAGCUAUGUUAAUCGGGACGCGGUACCGGAAUAGAAAGCCACGGCUAACUACGUGCCAGCAGCCGCGGUAAUUC
rnacentral:rRNA from 1 species